UGAACCACUAAACUGAAUAAUUAAAUAUAGGAUUCCUAAUAAAAUUUAAAUAAGUAUCAAAUCAAACACUAAUACAAAUAUCUCAGUAAAACAAAUAUUUCAAAUAUAGUUUGAAAACAACAUAGUGAAAGUUUACAAAAAUCAAUCAAUUAUCUUGAGUACAUCUGCUCCUUGAACUUCGCCUUUCCCUUUCCCUUUUCCUUUCCCACCUACAAGCACAACAUAUACAAUCAAUUAGCUAGUAUGCUAAUUCUUGGAUAUUUACAAGCAAAAAUAUACAUAUAAUUUUACUUGAUUAUUGUGUGCUACAAUUAACUUUGAAACAUACGUGGCCCACUCAUCGCGAUGUUGCGAAAUAUCAUCCAUAGUGUACUCAUCACAGCUCUUGAACUUAAAAAAUAAAGCAACAAAAUGUAUAGAUUUAUUUUUAAAUAUGUUAUGAUUAACAUCAAAAAUCAAGAACAUGCAAAUAAAGAGUAUCACGAUAGUUAACAAUAAUUACCAAAGCUGCAUAACAUGUUGAUAAUUUAUAAUAAUUAUUUUACUUCACUCAAUAUUACUUUAGCAUUCAACAUUGGGCUUCAUACGACUUCCAUUUCUACAUCCAACAACUGCGGUCGUUCUGGUUUGCACUAAAGUCCUUAAAUGCAAGCAGAACACACUAAAAAUUAGCAUCAAUUUUUCCAAACAACAUCUUGAAUGCAUUCAACAAAAUAUUGAUCGAUUAUGUUGAAGUAAUGAAUCUGCCCACUCCAUUUAAAACUAUAGUAGGAUAAAAUCUGGACAUAAUUGUUGUGCAAAUUUUAAUGAACUCGUAAGCGCACGAAUCUAUUGUAGUAUAGACUAAUGGUGACGAGUGUCGAUCCCACGAGGAGGUGGAUUUUAAUUGUGUGUAGAAUUAAUUUUGUAAAUGGGUGGUUGGAUUUGUAGUGAAAAUGAUUUGGAUUAUCCUAAAAUUGGAAUUGAAAUUGUGAGAAUAAAUUCUAAAGUUGGAGUUGAAAUGGUGAGAAUAAAUUGAAGAGAAAUAUAUUGAAAUGACGUACUUGGGUAUCUGGAUCCGUAUCAACAUGCACCAUGGGCUAAAUAUUCCUUAUUAAUACCAAUUAAAUCAUGAGGGGGGAAUCCACACCUCAUGAACCACACUCUAAUCAAUAUGGUGCUAAGGGCUUAUCGUGCCAAAUAAUAAUAACCUUGUACUAGAGGGCCGGUGAAACCAAGGCGGUACUAGACAAGAUUAGUAUUAUUUGUCGACGAGAAGUCAAAACAUCCACAAAACUUAGAGGGGAAGAGAAAGUAAAUUUACCAAAUAAAGCCCAUGACACAUGUUGAGACUUCACCUUCAACCCAAGCUUGAAAGAAAAUUAGCUACUCAUAAUUGAACUAGGGGCAAAAUGGAAAUUUAUUAAAAUACGUAGAAACUACAAGAUGGAGAAGGAAUUACAGAAAAUGGAUCCAAAAAAUGGAUUCAGAGCUAUCAAAUUAGGGGGGAGGCCCCCUUUUUAUAGAUACAUGAGUAAAUCAUGGCAAUCGGAUUAAAAACAGUUUGGACGCUCAGGAUUGCGCCACGUCAUCAGUCAGCAGUACGCGGUUUGACCACAUGGAUGAACAGUAACACGGUUUGACCCGGGUUGAACAGCAACGCGGUUUGGUUGAAAAUAAUCCUGUGUGAUGCAUGUACCGUACGCGAGAUUUUUGGUCCACUGAUAUGUUGCCACGUCACCAUCAACAGUACAUAAGAAUUUUAGUCCAACAGGAUCGUGACACCUCAUCAGUCAAUGCCACGUCAUCGGUCAAUGCCACGUCAUCGAUCCGUCUAUGUGAACAGUGUCGUGAACAGUAACGUAGACAGUACCGUACACGUGAAUAGUAUCGUACAUGUGAACAGUGCCAUUUUUCCUUUUAUGCUCCUCCUAAGGUUUUCGACCGUCCUGAGUUCAAAAGUGAUGUCCGUUUUGCCAUCUGAUCUCUCGUUUAUUGUGAAAUGACUAUGAUGCCCCUAAAAUAUAUAAAAUACUUAAUUAAAAUAAAACACUCGGAAUUAAAUCAAAAGAAGGUUAAAUUCAUAAAAGUAAAGGUGUUAGUAAAACUUGUAGUGUAAAAUGACGAUUUUCUCCUUUAUAAAUAUACAUUUUCUAACACUCAACAAUAAUUAUGUAGCUUUUACCUAUAAUACAUAUGCCAAGUAAAGUGCAUGCGAUUAUCUUAAACAUACAAAGUACUUCCUCUCAUCCCUAGCUACUAUAAAUAUAGAUAUUGCAAAUUCCAAGCAUUAAGCAGCAAGCAAUUCAAAUAUUACAUCUUUACAAUUCACAUAAUUGACAAGUUAGAAGUUCCUCUUGCAAUUGGUUGAGAGGUUGAGAGAAUCAAGUUAUACUACUAUGGAACACAAAGAAUUAAAAAAGAGGCACAACUUGAUUAUGACAGAUCUAACAUUUUCAACCAAACAAUUUUGAAUUGUCAAUGGUAGUAGUUAUUGCAUCAAAGUAUGACGAUCAUAAGACUUAAGCCCGUGAAGACGACAAUCAUCCAUUGAAACAUGAUUUCUAAAGUUAGAACAAUAACCAUCAAGAACUUUAACAUCUCGUAAGGUUUCACAGGACAUUUUUUUUCUCUUUCUUACUUAAAGUGCAUGGGACAAUAGGUAAGACUUUACUUUGUUCAUUAGGAGCUAAUGCAAUAAAUGCUUUGUUUAUUUUCUCUCUAAGCUCUGGACGGGUAAGAUCUUUUCUAGCAUUAAUUCCAUCUUUUGUUUUCCCCAAUUAAUGGAGUAAUGUGCCAUAUUUGCUCUCACACAUAUUUUUCGCAAUGCGCAUCACAUCUGGUUGAUGGCGAACUAACAAGUGUUAUCUUUUUGUACAACAACCAAGCUACAUCCCCGUCACACUUACUAUCACCCUCACCCUCAUCCUCACCAUCACCUUUACUCGGACAUUCACCUUCACCAUCACCCUUGCCUUCACUCUCACCAUUACCCUUACCUUCACCCUCACCAUCACCCUUACCCUUACCGUUACCCUCACCCUUAUCCUCACCCUCAUCACGUUUUCGCUUUUUUUGGAUUUUUUUCCCAAACUUGGUGUCAAUAUCAAUCACUAAGUUUAAGAUCUCUGCACUAGACAAAGGUUUAAAAGGGUUCUCAAAAAACUGUCUAUGGCUUAUAUAUAACAUUUUUCGACUAUACGGCAGCCAACAUACACAUAUGUUUAUCCCACAAAUUAGAUAACCAUAGUAUCCCUUAAAAGUACACUCAGACAGGUUCCUAUAUGCUAGGAAGUAACUAAUCCACAUCAACACAGCCUGUGAAUUAAAAGUUUCUUUCUUAUAUACAUCGAACACAUCAACUCCAAUAUCGCAUAGGAUUUUCAAGUCCUCAACCAGAGGCGCUAGGUAUACAUCUAUAUUAUUUCUAGGUUGUUUAGGGUCAGAUUGAAAUACUAACUAGGCAACCCAAGAGGGGGGUGAAUUAGGAUAUUAAAACUUAUGCAAAAUAAGCCACACAACAAUUCAAUCUAAUGCCUUAAUGGAAUCAAAAACAAUAAAUUCAAUCAAGCACACUAAUAAAAGAUAAUGGAAUAAAAAAUAAUAAAUUCAAUCAAGCACACUAAUAAAAGAGUAAGGGAAGAAAAAAUAAACAUAAGGAUUUUUGCUUGGUUUGGCAAUCCCUGCCUACGUCCACGCCUCCAAGCACACCGAGCUUGAGGAUUUCACUAUCCAAGCCUCUCAAGGCUUCAAACGCUUACAAUUGACUUCCAAGGUGUCAAUGGACCUUUACAACAAAAGAUCAUCCCCAAUCUCUUAACCCAAGUGUAUCCUAACACUUACGACCACUCAAUGAUAAAGAUUAUAAAUGAAUUUUCUCUCACACAAUGUGUUUGAUUACAAAUGUAUGCUCAAUAUGUGAAUAAAUGAAUCAAGAAUGAAUUUAAAACUCAAUGAAUGUUGUAUUCUCGAUUACAAGCUCAAUGAUAAUGUUGUGAUUCACACUUAUUUGAAUUUGAUUGAGAUUAUUUAUAUUUGGAGCUGAAAACUAGCCGUUAUUGACUUUUUGCUCUAAGUCGGAUUGCCGUUAACUCAAAUUCAGAUUGCCAUUUUGACUGGUCCAAGUUACCGUUGGACAUAAUUUCAAAUUGUCAGAUCGUCAUUUUCAAGAUGUCGGAUCGUCAUUUUCAAGAUGUCGGAUCAUUGUUAGUGUCCAUAGGCUAAUCUUCAAUUCUGUUCGAUGUCGGCUAGCCGUUAUCAAAAUGUCGGUUAGUCGUUUGCUACAGUGAACUAUUUUCCAUAAUUAUAUUUUUGCCCCAAAACUUUAUAAAAUUAUAUUGUGGCGUAAAACGAUAUAAAACUUUUCACAUAAGUCCUUCUCUAGAAUUCUAAGCAACACUUGUUAAUUUCAAAGUUCUCAAAAUUCUUUCAAUUAGACCAUAAACUAGAAAAACAACCAAUUUUAUAAAAUCAUUUUUUCAUUAAAUAUAAAACAUUUAUAAUGUGAAAAAAAUGAUUUAUUUAAAAUGUGUAAAAAAAUAAUUUGAGCUUUUAAAAACUUAAUCAUUCUUAAUUUUGUUUGUUAUCAUCAAAAUCAACAUUAUGAAUACAUAAAUGCUAACACAUAUAUCAGUACAGAUAACAUCAUAAACUUUCUCUUCAUACACAACCAUAGAGGAAGAUUAUAUGUUAUCAAUGUAACAAGCCAACAACUAUAAGUCGUGCUAAGUGUGCUAUGUGGAUUAAUCCCAUCAGAUGAUAAAGCCAAUUGAAGAUUUCUCGGCUCUUGGGGAAAAUCAUGCCAUUUAUUGUCAAUUAGCUGCCAAGCCAGUGAAUCUGCCGAGUGGCAAAGCUUGCCAUCUCUAGUUCUUUUAUUUUCAUGCAAUGUUAAGUUCUCAACAUUUUUUGGUAAUUGAAACAUUAUUUUGAAUCUAGGAAUUAUUGGAAAAUACCAUAAUAUCUUUUUAGGCAUCCAUUUUUUUUAAUUUGUUUAGUUCCAUCUUUUCUUAUUCGCCACCUAGAUGCUCCAUAACUUGGGCAUUCAAUAAGAUUUUUGAACUCAUUCUUAUAAAAAAUGCAAUCAUUUGGACAUGCAUGUAUUUUCUCAUACUCUAAGACUAAUAUCUUCAUUGUUUUUUUGGCCUCAUACAUUGACUUAGACUUAUUAUUAUCAUUUGGCAAUAUCUCAUUGAAGACUUCUAAUAAAGCUGAAAAUCCACUGUUAGACCAGCCAUAAAGUCCUUUUAUAUUGUACAAUUUCAUUAAACCCGAUAGCUUUGAAUGCUUUGAACCCAGAUAUAAGGUUUUUUCAGCAUCUUCAAGCAUAUUCUUAAAGGAACUAGGAUCUUUGUCACAGUGCUUGAAAUCAUCAUGAACCAUGUCACACAAAUUACUGUAAUUCAGACAUUUAAAAUGCUGAAUUUUUUACUGGUCUUGGCACUUUGCAAAGGUAGGUUUUGGGUCUACCUCACCAUGUCAAUUCCAAACUAAAUAAUUUUUUAAAAAACAUUUUUUAAAUAGAUGUAGCCUCACUUGUUCAUGAGUCAAAAACUUCAAAUUACAACAAGAGGUACAUGGGCAUCUAAUCGACAUUCUAUUUUCAGAAUUAAUAAUGGCAAACUCCUCAAGAAUUCAUCAACCCCAUCAUAAUACUCAUCGGACAAUCAAUCACAGAAUAUCCAAGUUUUGUCUAUAACAUGUAUUUUGACCUGUUGAUUUAUUAGAUGUUGUUAGCCUAAUAAGUUUAAUUAAAUUUGCACAAAUAACUUCAAACUUUUAGGUUUAAAACAAAAAUACAUAUUACAAAACAAAGCAAAGUUCUAUUUGCUUUAAGUCACUUAAAUACAUGUUCACAUCAACAAGUCAACAAAACAUGCCAUACACAUUUUUCAAAACUUCACUUUCAUAUUAGAAUAAACAUAAGUAUAUGUAUAUCAAAUAAACAAUCAAUUUAAUUCCAAAAUAACCUAUGCAACAAAAACAAAACUAAAAUUGUGCAUGUAAAUAAUUAAAAAAUGUUAAUACAAGUAAAACUCAUAACACAACAAUAAUAGAAACUAAAAAAAAGUGAGUGAUUUGUAAGACUUACCAGAUGAAAACAGCUUUUAUACCCAAUACUUUUGUGAUUAUUCAGAAGCGAGAGAUAGAACUGAACAUAUUGAUUCAAGUGAUUAGAAAAGAAAAAUGCAAGAUUCAACAAAAAGUAAUAACAAACUAAAUAUUUUGGUCGAAAGUCAAUAAUGUCAUAUUAAAAUCCAAACAAAAGUUUCCUAUACAGGAAACAAAAGUUCCCUUUUAAAAAAAAAUUAUUAAUUUAAAGAUCAUGCAACCUAAAAAAAAAAGACAAGCUACCUACCGUAGUCAAUAAUCAAUGUUCAAUUAUUCACGUCUUAUUUGUUGCAUUUACAUUGACAUUAUAAUCCAUCAAAUCCAAUGAAAGUGCAUAUGAAAUUAAUUAAUGGUGUGAAAUAUCUAAUAAGUCUCCUAAACUACAUGCCAUAAUUAAAUUCAUUCUCUAAAUUUGCAAUUUUGUGAAUGUGAUGAUAAAAUCAUAAGCAUUACUAACAAAACUCCAUAGAAUGAAAUGACAGAAAGUGUCAGGGAGUUACAAACAAUCAAGUUUACUGAAAGAAUUAAGAAUUUUAACGCCCAUUCUAUAGUUAAAGCGCAAUAAAACAACAUGUAUGAGCAAAAUAUAAACUAUAAAUUACAAAAUUAAUUAUUAAGAAGAAAAAAAUGGUACCUUUAGAAACGAAUGGAUCGGAAGGGAGAGAGAGAACCAAAUUGUUAUAGAGACGUAUUGCAUUGGUUCGGCCUUGGUUGGGAUUGACGAUGGGGUUUGAUUAGAAUGUGCAAUAUCAUGGAUUUCAGAGUUUUGCUGUUUACUUGGCUUUGACAGAGAAGAUGAAUCCAAAGGAAAGAGAACCAAAUCAUGAUAGAAACAAAUUGCUUUGCUUCGGCCUUGGUUGGGAUUGACGAUGGGGUUUGAUUAGAAUGUGCAAUAUCAUGGAUUUUAGGGUUUUGUUGUUUACUUAUCUUUGACAGAGAAAACGAAUCGAGAGGAGAAGAAUGAGUUCAUGACUUAGAAAAAUAUGUAGCGUUGACUUUUAUCUACGGUUUGGUUUAAGACAAUGUGUUUAAC
rnacentral:lncRNA from 1 species